rnacentral:rRNA from 1 species
UACGUAGGGUGCAAGCGUUGUCCGGAAUUAUUGGGCGUAAAGAGCUCGUAGGCGGUUUGUUGCGUCGGCUGUGAAAUCCCGAGGCUCAACCUCGGGUCUGCAGUCGAUACGAGCAAACUAGAGUGUUGCAGGGGAGACUGGAAUUCCUGGUGUAGCGGUGAAAUGCGCAGAUAUCAGGAGGAACACCGGUGGCGAAGGCGGGUCUCUGGGCAAGCAACUGA